UGGGGAAUUUUGGACAAUGGGCGAAAGCCUGAUCCAGCAAUGCCGCGUGUGUGAAGAAGGCCUUCGGGUUGUAAAGCACUUUUGUCCGGAAAGAAAUCCUUGGCUCUAAUACAGUCGGGGGAUGACGGUACCGGAAGAAUAAGCACCGGCUAACUACGUGCCAGCAGCCGCGGUAAUACGUAGGGUGCAAGCGUUAAUCGGAAUUACUGGGCGUAAAGCGUGCGCAGGCGGUUUGCUAAGACCGAUGUGAAAUCCCCGGGCGUCAACCUGGGAACUGCAUUGGUGACUGGCAGGCUAGAGUAUGGCAGAGGGGGGUAGAAUUCCACGUGUAGCAGUGAAAUGCGUAGAGAUGUGGAGGAAUACCGAUGGCGAAGGCAGCCCCCUGGCCAAGUACUGACGCUCAUGCACGAAAGCGUGGGGAGCAAACAGGAUUAGAUACCCUGGUAGUCCACGCCCUAAANGAUGUCAACUAGUUGUUGGGGAUUCAUUUCCUUAGUAACGUAGCUAACGCGUGAAGUUGACCGCCUGGGGAGUACGGUCGCAAGAUUAAAACUUAAAGGAAUUGACGGGGU
rnacentral:rRNA from 1 species